AUACGUAGGGCGCGAGCGUUGUCCGGAAUUACUGGGUGUAAAGGGAGCGUAGGCGGGAGUGCCAGGCCGAUGUGAAAAACCGGGGCGUAAACCCGGAGCUGGAUUUGAAACUGGGGUUCUUGAGUGGAGUAGAGGCAAGCGGAAUUCCUGGUGUAGCGGUGAAAUGCGUAGAUAUCAGGAGGAACACCGGUGGCGAAGGCGGCUUGCUGGGCUUUUACUGACGCUGAGGCUCGAAAGCGUGGGUAGCAAACAGGAUUAGAUACCCUGGUAGUCCACGCUGUAAACGAUGAUUACUAGGUGUGGGGGGACUGACCCCUUCCGUGCCGCAGUUAACACAAUAAGUAAUCCACCUGGGGAGUACGGCCGCAAGGUUGAAACUCAAAGGAAUUGACGGGG
rnacentral:rRNA from 1 species